GAUGAACGCUGGCGGCGUGCUUAACAUAUGCAAGUCGAACGAUGAAGCCCAGCUUGCUGGGUGGAUUAGUGGCGAACGGGUGAGUAACACGUGAGUAACCUGCCCUUGACUCUGGGAUAAGCCUGGAAAACUGGUUCUAAUACUGGAUAUGACUUCUCAUCGCAUGGUGUGGGGUGGAAAGAUUUAUUGUUCUUGGAUGGACUCGCGGCCUAUCAGCUUGUUGGUGUGGUAAUGGCUCACCAAGGCGACGACGGGUAGCCGACCUGAGAGGGUGACCGGCCACACUGGGACUGAGACACGGCACAGACUCCUACGGGAGGCAGCGGUGGGGAAUAUUGCACAAUGGGCGCAAGCCUGAUGCAGCGACGCAGCGUGAGGGAUGACGGCCAUCGGGUUGUAAACCUCUUUCAGUAGGGAAGAAGCGAGAGUGACGGUACCUGCAGAAGAAGCGCCGGCUAACUACGUG
rnacentral:rRNA from 1 species